GAUGAAGAACGCAGCGAAAUGCGAUACGUAAUGUGAAUUGCAGAAUUCAAUGAAUCAUCGAGUCUUUGAACGCACAUUGCGCCCCCUGGUAUUCCGGGGGGCAUGCCUGUCCGAGCGUCAUUGCUGCCCUCAAGCACGGCUUGUGUGUUGGGCCUCCGUCCUCCUCCCGGGGGACGGGCCCGAAAGGCAGCGGCGGCACCGCGUCCGGUCCUCGAGCGUAUGGGGCUUCGUCACCCGCUCUUGUAGGCCCGGCCGGCGCUUGCCGACACAUCAAUCUUUUUUCCAGGUUGACCUCGGAUCAGGUAGGGAUACCCGCUGAACUUAAGCAUAUCAAUAAGCGGAGGA
rnacentral:misc_RNA from 1 species